AUUGAACGCUGGCGGCAGGCCUAACACAUGCAAGUCGAGCGGAUGAAGGGAGCUUGCGCCUGGAUUCAGCGGCGGACGGGUGAGUAAUGCCUAGGAAUCUGCCUGGUAGUGGGGGAUAACGUCCGGAAACGGGCGCUAAUAACGCAUACGUCCUGAGGGAGAAAGUGGGGGAUCUUCGGACUUGGCGGUAUCGGAUGAGCCUAGGUCGGAUUAGCUAGUUGGUGGGGUAAUGGCCUACCAAGGCGAUGAUGGGUAGCUGGCCUGAGAGGGUGACCGGUCACAUUGGUCCUGCGGGAGGGCCCAGAGUGCAACGGGAGGCAGCGGUGGGGAAUAUUGCCCAAUGGGCGGAAGCCUGAUGCAGCGACGCCGCGUUCGGGAUGACGGUCUUCGGGGUGGAAACCGCUUUAGCCUGUGACGAAGCGUGAGUGACGGUAAUGGGUAAAGAAGCACCGGCUAACUACGUG
rnacentral:rRNA from 1 species